rnacentral:rRNA from 1 species
AACGAACGCUGGCGGCAUGCCUAACACAUGCAAGUCGAACGAGACCUUCGGGUCUAGUAGCGCACGGGUGCGUAACGCGUGGGAACCUGCCCUUAGGUUCGGAAUAACUCCCCGAAAGGGGUGCUAAUACCGGAUAAUGUCUUCGGACCAAAGAUUUAUCGCCUUUGGAUGGGCCCGCGUUGGAUUAGCUAGUUGGUAGGGUAAAAGCCUACCAAGGCGACGAUCCAUAGCUGGUCUGAGAGGAUGAUCAGCCACACUGGGACUGAGACACGGCCCAGACUCCUACGGGAGGCAGCAGUGGGGAAUAUUGGACAAUGGGCGAAAGCCUGAUCCAGCAAUGCCGCGUGAGUGAUGAAGGCCUUAGGGUUGUAAAGCUCUUUUACCCGGGAUGAUAAUGGCAGUACCGGGAGAAUAAGCUCCGGCUAACUCCGUG